rnacentral:tRNA from 1 species
GCCUGGGUGGCUGAGUCGGUUAAGCGUCCGACUUCAUUUCGGGUCAUGAUCUUGUGGCUUGUGGGUUUGAGCCCCACGUCGGGCU